rnacentral:rRNA from 1 species
UACGUAGGGGGCUAGCGUUGUCCGGAUUUAUUGGGCGUAAAGCGCGUGUAGGCGGCUUUGCAAGUCGGGUGUGAAAGCCCUCGGCUCAACCGAGGAAGUGCGCCCGAAACUGCAGAGCUUGAGUACCGGAGAGGAUGGCGGAAUUCCCCAAGUAGAGGUGAAAUUCGUAGAUAUGGGGAGGAACACCGGUGGCGAAGGCGGCCAUCUGGACGGAUACUGACGCUGAGACGCGAAAGCGUGGGGAGCAAACAGG